ACACGUUUAUUUUCUUAUUCAAUUUUAAAAAUUACUAAAAAAUUACUUUUAAAUCCUUUUUCUAAAAAUUUUUAAAUUUUUUUCCUUAAAUUUUGUUUAAUGUAAUACAUUCUUUUCUUUUAUAUGUUCUACACCUUUACCUAACGUUUUAUAAUUUUAUUAAAAUUAAAUUUUAAAAAUUAAUUUUAAGAUGGUGGUAUAUAAAAUUUAAAUAAAAGUUAAAUUUAUCGUGUAUUAUCGAUUAGAAAACAUAUU
rnacentral:rRNA from 1 species